UUUGAGCGUUUACAACAAGGUAAGUGUUCGUAGGUUGCGUUUGAGCGAUCACAGUAAUAAAAUAAGAAAUCGAAAAAGAGAGCAAGAUAGUUCUUAUUCUGAAUCUGCGUUUGAGCGUUUACAACAAGGUAAGUGCCUGGGCUACGAGAUCUGCCGGCGAGAUUCCUAGUUCUAAAACCCUAAGACGGCAAAAACCUAAUUGAGUCGCAGCUCGAAUAACAAAAACAAAAAAUUGCCUAAAAUCGCUCUAAGUGCUAAGUUUGCUGUGAAAAAGUCCUCCCCCAUGCUUCUCGCCUAGGACUCCUUAUAUACUGGCUCCAAGGUUGGUUUACGCUUUUCCCCUUCUGCCC
rnacentral:lncRNA from 1 species